AUUGAACGCUGGCGGCAUGCUUUACACAUGCAAGUCGAACGGUAACAGGCCGCAAGGUGCUGACGAGUGGCGAACGGGUGAGUAAUGCAUCGGAACGUGCCCAGUCGUGGGGGAUAACGCAGCGAAAGCUGCGCUAAUACCGCAUACGAACUAUGGAUGAAAGCGGGGGACCGAAAGGCCUCGCGCGAUUGGAGCGGCCGAUGUCAGAUUAGGUAGUUGGUGAGGUAAAGGCUCACCAAGCCAACGAUCUGUAGCUGGUCUGAGAGGACGACCAGCCACACUGGGACUGAGACACGGCCCAGACUCCUACGGGAGGCAGCAGUGGGGAAUUUUGGACAAUGGGCGCAAGCCUGAUCCAGCAAUGCCGCGUGCAGGAAGAAGGCCUUCGGGUUGUAAACUGCUUUUGUACGGAACGAAACGGCUCUCACUAAUACUGGGGGCUAAUGACGGUACCGUAAGAAUAAGCACCGGCUAACUACGUGCCAGCCGCCGCCGUAAUAC
rnacentral:rRNA from 1 species